AACCAUGAUAUGCUGCUAGGUGUCACUCAUGGUUUGUGGAAGCCCUAAACGUGUGUAAACACUAAAGGGAGAAUUGAAAGUAAGUUUCAAUUCACAAUCAAUGUAAAAUGGUUUUAAUCGCCCACUGCCUCGCUAAAAGGAACCUAAUGGAUCGUACACCGUGUAAGGUGGAGAUUGAAGAAACAAUGGAGAUGAGUAAGAAUAAUUAAAUGGUUUAUUUAUUUAUGGCAAGGAUUAAUUAAUAUGUUAAUUAAUCAAACGAAUAAAGUUCGUUAAAGACCUCGGGAUAGUUUUGGACCUCAAGGCCCAAUGGGCUUCGAACGUCAAGUCCAUUGACUUAAGUUGUAUGACAACUUAAUGAAUAAUGAUUCACAAAGGACCAAUUAGGCCAAUAAUAUCCCAUGGCCGGCCAUUUGGUUUUGGAGUGGGUUUUGGACUUAUUUACAAGUUUGCCACUCCAAUGACUUAAGGUAUAAAUAUGACUUUAUAGCCAAAAAUUCAUUUAGGGUUUUUUUUGGAGAAAAUUGGAGAGAACAUGUCUCUCCAUUUCUCUCUAAAGAGGCCGGCCCCUUGGAGGGUGUAUCUAGCCAUACUAACUACUCCAAGGUCACUCAUUUCUUCUCCAAUCUAACCUUGGUGAAGAUACUUAGAGGUUCUCAAUUUUGGGAACUUGGAGAAACCUUUUCAUCCAUCCAAAUCCAUAGAUUUUAGAUGCAAGGAAUGAAGGCCCUAUCUUUGGGUGAUUAGCAUUUGCUUAUGCGAGGAAUCUACAAAGGUAUAUUUCUCAACUCACUUUGAUUUGAGUUGAGUCUUGGUUCACCAAUCUACUAGGCUUUGAAUUUCAUGGUUAAUGUUUUGUUUUUGAAUGCAUGCAAGCAUGAUUCCGCCUUUUAAUUGUUAAAUGCAUGCUAUAGAUGUUAUUCAAAUGAACAUGUUUUCACAAAAUUAUCCUUCAACAAUGUGGUCAAGAGUAUUGUAUUAGAGAAAGACCGUAUUGCAUUGUAAUCCUAAACGGAACAGGUUCUCCACCUCUUCUGAUUAGCUUGGGUAACCAUGACAUACUGCUAGGUGUCACUCAUGGUUUGUGGAAGCCCUAAAUGUGUAUAAUCACUAAAGGGAGAAUUGAAAGUAAGUUUCAAUUCACAAUCGAUUUGAAAGAGUUCUAAUCGCCCACUGCCUCACUAAAAUGAACCUAAUGGAUCGUACAUCGUGUAAGGUAGAGAUUGAAGAAACAACAGAGAUGAGUAAGGAUAAUUAAAUGGUUUAAUUAUUUAUGGCUAGGAUUAAUUAAUAUGUUAAUUAAUCAAACGAAUAAGUUCGUUAUAGACCUCGGGUUAGUUUUGGGCCGCAAGGACCAAUGGGAUUUGAAUGUCAAGCCCAUUAACUCAAGUUGUAUGACAACUUGAAACCACAAAGGGCUUGAAAGCCCAAUGAACCCUUAAUGGCCGGCCAUAUAGAGAGGGGUAGUGAACUUGGCUUAAUUGCAAGUUUGCCACUCCAUUGUGAGGUGGUAUAAAGGCAACUUUAUAGCCAUUUCAUCCUUAGGGUAUUUUUUUUGGAGAAAAGAUGAGAAUGCAAGCUCCAUUUUCCCUCUAAGAGGCCGGCUACCCUAGAGGAUUUUAGCUAGCAAUCUUACUUCGUCUAGGUCACUCAUCUCUUCUUCAAGUCCUACCUUGGUGUGGAGACUUAGAGGUUCUCAACUUUGGGAACUUGGAGAAUCCUUUCGACCAUCCUCAUCCAAGAAAUCCAUGGAGCUAAGGAGCAAGGAAUGAAGGCCCUCUCCUUGGGUGAUUAGCCUUUGCUUAUGCAAAGAGGAAUCAACAAAGGUAUAAAAUUUCUCAACUCACUUUGUUCUUGAGUUGAGUCUUGGUUUACAUAACUACUAGGCUUUGAAUUUCAUGGGUAAUGUUUUGUUUUUGAGUGCAUACAAGCAUGAUUCCACCUUUAAUUGUUAAUUGCAUGCCUUAGAUGUUGCUCAAAUGAACAUGUUUUUCACAAAAUUUCCUUCAAGUGGUAUCAAGAGCCUAGGUCUAGUAGUUGGUGAAUCCUUUUGGGUUUUGUAUUUUCAUAGUUUAUGAUUUGAAUGUUGUAAUUGUUUCAAGCUUUAUUCUUGCUUCUUUGAAUGUAAAUUUUGUUAGAAAAUUUGCCAUCUCAAAUGCUGUAGAUGUAGUUCAUAUGAGCAUGAAUUUUGGAGUUAAAAUUUGGUGCCAUGUUUUUGGGGAAAUUCGGCCAAAUCCAAAAGGUGGAUUUUUGGGUUCAUGUUUGUCUUGUUAAAAGAGUUUUAAAGUGACUUUUGGAACCCCUAAGUGCCCUAGGAUGUUAACCCUCUUUUGUGUAGUGAACAUUUGAGUUUUAUUGAGUGAAAACAUUCAUGGAGCUCUUAUGAGUUUUCAUGUGUGUUCUUCAAAGUUCUUGAAGUUCUUACCAAGAACAAAAAGGUUUGGUGUUCUGAUUCAAAGUGUUUGAUGUUUUGCAUAAGGUUUUGUUUAUGGUGGUUGGUGUGACUUUAUUGUAAUAAAUGGUAUGACAUGAUUUGUCAUUUUUCAAUCAACACCCAUACCAAUCAACUUUUCCACCCAUCCCUUUCACCCUUUUCAACACUCUUUAAAAUUUUUGAAUUUUUACCAAAACCUGCUUCCUCCUUUUUUCACUUCCCAAAACCAGCCACCCUAUAAGUAGGGUACUUUUGAGGUUUUUAUGCAAUUACAUAAAGUUUUGAUACUUUUGUGUAUUUGUACUUUGACCCAAAAGUUUACGUAUUUACGUAAAGGCCCAAAAUCACUAAAGGACAAAAUGUUUUGCUCUUUUAAUGAAGUUUUUGCAUUUGAUGAAAAUUUUGGAUUCUAGUUGUAAUUACAUGAAGUAGUGGACUUUUGUGUUUUUACAAAGUGACCUCAAAAGUUUGUGUUUUGCAAUAUAGCCCAAUGGUUGAGGUUAUUGUUUUUCGGCCCAAAUUAGUUGAGAACAAAAUAGUUUUGUAUCUUUAAAUGAGAAUUGGAUUUUCAUUUCAUUUAGCUCCAUUUAAAUCAAUUCUAUGGAUACAAAAACCAAAUGAAAAUGUUGUAUUCAAGUUUAAUUAGUUAAAACGUUAAUUAAUUAAAGAAAGGGUGAUUAUGAACCUAAGCCUACUAUAAUUGAGCUAUGUGAAAGGCCGUCUCAAAUUUGUUUGAACCAUGGGAAUGUGUAGAUUAGAUUUUGGUUGUAAUUUGAUAUGAUCAAAUAUUGUAAAAGAGCAUAAGCUCUUCUUUACUUUAAAGUAUUUUGUUUUGAUCAAAUGUUGUAAAAGAGCAUAAGCUCUUCUUUACUUUGAAGUACUUCUUUCUUGCUUUAUUUGAUAUGCAUGAAAAUGAAGUAGAAGGUCCAACGCCCAAUAAGAAAACACGCCUUAAUGUGAUUAAACAUGUAACUAAAAUCAAUCAUCAUCCCUAGACCGAGAUUCAACAGUAGGCUCGUGUUGGAUCGAAUCAAAAGUUCAUAGUCAUCCUAAGGCCCUAAGGCAACUAUAUAGUCCAUCAAUGAAUGCAAACCUUAUGUUAGUAGUACCAUAUACUCUUGCUUUAAAAACCGUUUUACAAGCAUAGUGGGAGUAUCAUAUACAACUAAAUCAAUCACAUGGACCAAUAGUUGUAAUAGGACCAAAUUGUUUUAAUAAGAUUAAAAUGCAUGCUUAUAUGUGAUGAGACCUAAAACCCUCAACCAAACCAUUAUUAAGUUGAUAAGCAUGAGAGUGCUUUAAACACUCUUUCGUGGCCUUCCACCGUGAUAGGCUUCGAUCGUUUAUGACUCAUACACCAAUUUCACCUUAUCAUGAGUGAGUACAAAGUGCGUGCUUACACUCAGGAGGAGUUCUAUAUGCAUAAAUGAUGUUGUGAAGGUAGGCAACGGGAAUGAUCAACAUCAGAUCAUUGUGAGGUUGUUCUUGAACCCCUACUCGAACUUGCAUGGUGGGAGUGACUUAACUAAGUGCAAUGGAGCCAACAUCAUAUCAUUGUGAGGCUUCAUUCUCUAGAGGCCAAAUAAGAUGGGUACUUGCAAGAGAUGCAAAUGAGUAAGCAUACUCUCUCAUUAUUAUUGAUGCUAGCCAACAUCAUAUCAUUGUGAGGUGGGCUUGGUAAUGAUGAGUCUC
rnacentral:lncRNA from 1 species